rnacentral:rRNA from 1 species
GAAUAUUGGGCAAUGGAGGCAACUCUGACCCAGCCAUCCCGCGUGCAGGAUGAAGGUCCUCUGGAUUGUAAACUGCUUUUGUUAGGGAAGAAAACCUAUUAUUUAUAAUAGACUGACGGUACCUAACGAAUAAGCACCGGCUAACUCCGUGCCAGCAGCCGCGGUAAUACGGAGGGUGCAAGCGUUAUCCGGAUUUACUGGGUUUAAAGGGUGCGUAGGCGGCCUGAUAAGUCAGUGGUGAAAGCUCUCAGCUUAACUGGGAAACUGCCAUUGAAACUGUUAGGCUUGAGUACAAUUGAAGUGGGCGGAAUACAUCAUGUAGCGGUGAAAUGCUUAGAUAUGAUGUAGAACACCGAUUGCGAAGGCAGCUCACUAAAUUGCAACUGACGCUGAGGCACGAAAGCGUGGGUAGCGAACAG